rnacentral:lncRNA from 1 species
ACGUUGUGUAGAGAGAGGUGAGGAUCUCACUCCAGUAUCUUGUAAGUCUGGAGUAGGACAAUACGUUGGGCCUUUUCAUUAAUGGAUGUUGUUUCUGCAUGUAUCUUGACUAUAUAUUUGAUCCGAUGCAUUACUUUAUUUUCUAGAAACUUUACUCUUAGGAAAAUGUCGGUUCACAUUGGAAAAAUUCACUCGGCGUUGUCCUUCUGUUUCAUGCAUGAUGCAAUAACCAUAAAACAUGUUUGGCACCAUGGAAGCCACAAGGUUACAGAACUAGAGACAUGUAACCUACUUAAUGCCUUAUAUCUGUCUUCCUAUGUUUAAAUAUUUAGAUAUUUUUCUCUAAAUUAUUUAUAUAUUUUUCGAUCAUGUACCGCCUCUCACUGAUUAUUUAUUUAUUGCAAAUCCAUGAAGUUUAUGAUUUUCGCAUAUAGCUAUUGUUUUACUUUUGCCUUGUUGUGACCUGUGAGUACAAUUAGUCUUCUGGCUAAAUUCUUGUUUUAUAUUCCCACAUCAUCUUAGAUAUUUCAUUCAUUGUCACUACUCUUAAUUUUGGUUUACAAAUUUGCUGUGGGUUAAUGAAUUUUUCAGGUUCUACUGAAUUUUUCAUGUUGAAUUUGAUUGUAUACAUACUUGCUAAUCCAAUUAUAGAUAGCUAAAUAAAUUGAAGAUGAUGCCACUUUGUGCAUUGUACAUCUAUUGGAAAUGGCAAUAGUUACAUGACCAACACUUUCCCAUUCAGUUUAGUCUGCUAUUCUGCUUGUACUAUCAUUUCUUCAGAUAUAUAGAUUUUUUGUUCUACUAAACUCUCAUGCUACUUGAAGUUUACGUAAAGAGUUUCAGGGGAGCAAAGCAGAAAGGAGUUCAGUGCGAAGGAGAAUAGGAGGGAGGAGAGAUCUGGACGCACCAAGACAAACAAGCGAGCUGAUCAUGCCGCCAACCUUGUUCUGUGCGGCUCGCUGGAGCUAGACGAUGAGUCCUUGCCUGCCUCCGGCCCUCCUAACAAUUGCUGUGAACCCUGUUAUGCGCCCUUGGCUGAUCAGCCAAUCUUACUAUACCUUUCCCCCUCCCGGUUCAUCAUGCUCAGGUCCUAGCUUGCAUCUUGUGAGUUUUAAUUAAUACAACAAAAUAUCGCACGUACUUUUGUUAGUUUACUUCACUUUUGCUAGCUUGUUGAUACUUUGCACAAAAUUGCUAGAGAAAUAGGCACAUCAAUUAAAUGAUUAUACAUAUAAGUCGAUGGUGGUAUUUUUUCAGAAAAAUUACAUGCAUUUCUAUGAUUCUCCAUUUUCCAGAUUCUUCCUGCAUUUAUGUGAUUAAUUGAAAUACCAUUCUAAAUGCAUUUGCUUACU